rnacentral:miRNA from 1 species
UAUAGGUGUGUGUGUGUGUGUACAUAUACAUAUGUAUAUAUAUAUGCAUAUAUACUAC